UCGGGAACGGGAACCAAACCGGGAUUGGCCCCGGGAGCCCCCUCGGAGCGGCCUCGAGCCGCUGCGGGAUGUGCUGGGGGCGGCUCGACCCCUCCGGGACCCUCCGGGACCCUCCCGGUUCCUCCCGGUUCCUCCCGGUCCCUCACGCCGCGCUCCCGCCGCGUUCCCGGAAGUGCCGCCCCUCCGCCCUCAGCCAAUCAGCAGCGGGAACAGCGCGCUCUGCUCCACGUGACUCACAAGCGCCGCGUUCAUUGGUUGAUACGCGUAGCGUCCCAGCCAAUCACCAGCGGGAAAAAAAGACUCGCAGUUGUCCCGCCCACUGGUGAUGGACGUGCGGCUCCAGCCAAUCAGCAGCGAGGAGGGCGUGGCCAUCGCGCUCAGACUCCGCCCCCCGCGCGGUUUUGGGGCGAAUUGCGGCGAUUUUGGGUCUGGCAAUGGCGGGGGCGCCGUUCAAUGGCUUUAUUGGGGGUCAUCGUCAAGGGGGAAACCCAGGCGGGGGUCGCAGGUGCCCCCAGGUCAGGGGUCAAUGUCCCAAAUGUCCCCCCGGGUCAGGGGUCACGGGGUGUCCCCAGGGGAGGGGUCCCGGUGUCCCCAGUGUCCCCAAUGUCCCCGAUGUCCCCAGAGGAGGGGUCCCGAUGUCCCCAGUGUCCCCCGGGGAGGGGUCCCGGUGUCCCCAGGGGAGGGGUCCCGGUGUCCCCAAUGUCCCCAAUGUCCCCCGGGGAGGGGUCCCGGUGUCCCGCUGUCCCCAUGGGAGGGGUCCCGGUAUCCCCAGGGGAGGGGUCCCGGUGUCCCCAAUGUCCCCCGGGGAGGGGUCCCGAUGUCCCCAAUGUCCCCAGGGGAGGGGUCCCGCUGUCCCCAAUGUCCCCGCUGUCCCCAUGGGAGGGGUCCCGAUGUCCCCGCUGUCCCCAUGGGAGGGGUCCCGGUAUCCCCAGGGGAGGGGUCCCGGUGUCCCCAAUGUCCCCAGGGGAGGGGUCCCGAUGUCCCCGAUGUCCCCAUGGGAGGGGUCCCGCUGUCCCGCUGUCCCCCAGGGAGGGGUCCCGGUGUCCCUAAUGUCCCCAGGGGAGGGGUCCCGGUGUCCCGCUGUCCCCAGGGGAAGGGUCCCGGUGUCCCCAUGUCCCCCGGGGAGGGGUCCCCGCGCCCCCCGGGCUCAGAGCUGCCGGGGGGGCAGCACCACGCGGUGCAGGACGCGCCCGGUGGCCUCCAGGAAGGUGACGGUGGCAGCGCCGGGCUCCAGGCGCAGGUGGGCGAAGCCCCCGGGGCUCGCGGGGCUCCCGAAGAAGAAGCGGAGGGAACCGGGGGGGACGGAGCCGAGGUGGGGCCGCGAAUCCUCCAUGAAAUUCCCGGCGCCGCUCAGGAUGUAGCCCACCCCCCC
rnacentral:lncRNA from 1 species